rnacentral:rRNA from 1 species
GCGAAAACUUUACAAUGCUGGCAACAGCGAUAAGGGAACCUCGAGUGCCAGGUUACAAAUCUGGCUGUCGAGAUGCCUAAAAAGCAUUUCAUAGCAAGGGCCGGGCAAGACCGGUGCCAGCCGCCGCGGUAACACCGGCGGCUCGAGUGGUAACCGUUAUUAUUGGGUCUAAAGGGUCUGUAGCCGGCCGGAUAAGUCUCUUGAGAAAUCGGGCAGCUUAACUGUCGGCUUUCAGGAGAUACUGUCUGGCUCGAGGCCGGGAGAGGUGAGAGGUACUUCAGGGGUAGGGGUGAAAUCUUGUAAUCCUUGAAGGACCACCAGUGGCGAAGGCGUCUCACCAGAACGGACCUGACGGCAAGGGACGAAAGCUAGGGGCACGAACC